CUUUCCCCCUUUCCCCCUUUC
rnacentral:misc_RNA from 1 species